CGGAAGAGAAAGGCAACCGCUGUUUAUAUUUCUCAAAAAAUAUAAAGAGAGGAAAGUCUGGACUUCAUAAGAGAAGAUACUGGAGAAAUUCCAGGGGCCGUAAGGCUACGGAAAGUGCAACAGAAAACACUCCGCUAUAAAAUUUAUUUUAUAGACAGGCUGAAAAUUCCUACUUUAGGAGUAGGAGCCAUUAAGGUGACUUAAUAGGCAUGCAAACCCUAUCUGAAGCAAGAGAAAAAAGCUUUUUGUGUCUGCAAAUGUGAGAGGAAUUCCUCCCAUAGGCUUUUUCGAAAUCGCUUGAGGGAUCUAGUAAUAGCUCCCCUAGAUGAAUGGUUGCCCUUAGGAUAGUUCGCAAGAGCUAUCUUAUAGACAGAAUCCAGCUUACCCUCUCUUCCGAUAU
rfam:Chlamydophila pneumoniae AR39, complete genome.